GGAGGGACGGUCCAAUAGCUGCCAAAACAAGAGUGGCCGUUCCUUUGAAAUUUAUCAAGGGAGCUUUUAUCAUUUGGUAUCAGAGCCUGGUUCUCUAAAUCAGGUCACUAUCCUUUUCUUUUUGUGUUUUCUUUGUAUUAUCUUUGUGUUUGAGUUGAGUUCUCUUUUUCCAUUUUUCUGCUGUUUUCUUCACACUUUCCGUGCAUAUAAGGUUUAGUAGUAAGGUUAACACCAAGAACUACUAACCCUCAUAAGUGUUUGUGUCUUUUCCCCCUUUGUAUUUGUUUGAGUUUUUU
rnacentral:misc_RNA from 1 species